AUGCUACAGGCAGAUUUCUCCUUGGUGGUUGAAAGUGUCCCUAAUAUCACAGUAGAUGCAUCCUGUGAGUUGCAUUUAAUUGUCAGCCUGUUUGCCCCUUGUAUGACUCUAUUAGCAAAACCCAUGAGGAGUCAAGUGGGGCUUAUCCCCGUGCAGUCAGUAAGUAAUUAGCAAAUGUAAGAAUAAGGCAGAGGUGGAAAAAAAAAAAACCACAGGGUUCCCAGAGUUUCAAUAGGUCAUGCUAGGGAUUUCUAACUCACAUUUUGUUCUCUACCACUCUCUAGGGGGGUUUCUUUGCUCCUUAGACCUUGGAAACUUCUAAGCAGAAUAAGAGAUCCUGUUUGGAGAUCUUAUCUUCAUGCCUCCUUUCUGGGUGUCCCUUUUUUCUUCUCUCUCACCAGCCUGGCAUUCCUCCUCCAUACCUCUUAAGUGCCAGAUUCUGUCAUCCUGGAUGGAGUGCAAAAGCUACAGUGUAAUCUCACAUUCUUUCAGGGCCACUGACCAGAGGAAACACAAGCUAGCCCGACCAGGCUCUCCUGAUGCUGACCAGCCAAUGGCCCUGCAGUUUCCUCUGUGUUUAGAAUUCCUUAUCUGGCAUUGCUAGCAAAUGCUCAAGCCCACAAGUCAACUAGAAGCUUAUCUGUAGGGCUGGAGCUUCAAAGAGAUAGCCAUACACUGUUCCUCGGGGUCAGAGGCUCUGUGACAGUGUGAGAUGGGAGGCUUUUGGGAUCAGUCAACUUAACACGGGUAACACAACUCAUUCACUUCUUUUGUUUUGAAACAGGGUUCAUUGCUUUCUCUUUUCUCAUUUGAGGAACACCUCUUGGUAUAUUAGUACAAGAAAAGUGUGGAAAAUUUAACAGGAAGUGGAAAGAACACAUUCCCUAAAGACUGUUGUUACUGGCUUUUCUAUAUGAAUGCUGGCCAGCCAUUGUUUUAUAUUUGUUACUAUGUUAUUAUUAUUUUGGUGUUGUUGGGAUUCU
ensembl:sense_intronic